CGCACGGCACGGGGGACCCCGCGUGGCCCCUGAGGCGUUCUGUCGCGAGCUUGUUUAAGCGACUGCCAGGGAACACCUCACAACCCCGUGGUUGCACGCCUCUCUCGGAGGAAGGAAGGUGUGAAGUUACUGUAGAAGCGGCUUUCAGAAUGGGGAAUAUAUAAACCUGAAUUUCAGGGAGGAUCGGAAAAAUGGCUUUAGGCACACUUCUGUUUGUGCUUUCUUAGCGCUUUUGCAAGACGAUCUUGGGUGGAUUCAGAAGAGUCUCCCUGAGUUGCGUUCGCGGUGUAGACCGAGUCCGGAAGCCAGGCUGCCUCCGGGGCAUGGGCCAGAGCCCGCCGGGUUGGAAUGAACCGGGCACGGUGCUGGCUAGCACUGCCUGUUUGCUGACAGGACCGCGAGUUACGGAACAAAACUUAAGCACUUUUUUGUCUUUAGAACCAUACAUUUCAAGCCUCUCAAGUCUUUUAAAAGAAAAAAAAAAAAAAGCAUAUUUUGAGCUCCACAAAGAGCCACUGCGUAUCCCUCCCCGGUGGACAUCAGGGUGUUUUACUGCACCUUUGCCUGGGUCCGUUGUCACAGUCUAACUCUGCACUGGUUGUUGCGUGAUGUGGAUAUCUGCCUGUGGAGGAUUUCAAGUGUGUGAAUCACCAGCCCAGCUAACACAGCGUCUGACCCUGCUAGGAGAAGCCACUUGAACUGGUCAUUGCUGAGCUGUGACAGUCGUUCCAGAACUUAAAGGAUGGGAAGCUGGAGCGCCUGGCAAGGAUCUGUACCUGGUGGAGAACGUGAACGUGGCAGUGGCAGGCAGCAACACUUAAGCAGUUCUCCUGCUGGUGUUUAACUGCCACAGAGCCCCAGCGCUGCAGAGGCCAGCCAUACUUAGGAAAGUGUAUGGCCUGCACUGAUUAAUUAAUGCUUGUGAGACAACCCUCUGGGAUUCUCAGAAAUACUUUGAGGAAUUCGUGAAUAAACAGGAAAAUGCAUGGCCCAGAGUUGCACAAACAACAAGGAACACCAUGGCUAAUACUGCAAAACAGCAAAUGGGAGGGGUACCUGUUCAUUUCAUUCCUGGGAAUCACUAUGUGGAACAACUUUCCGAGACUCUGAUAAGCUGGAAGGAUUACCUGCAUAUAAAAAAUGUUUUCAGUUCUGAGAUGAUGAGGAUAGAAGUAGGUUUUGGUGUCCAUGAAAGCCCUUGGAAGAGCAACUUCCAUAGAAGUCAUGAGAAAUGAAGGUAAUGUGUAUGAAGGUAAUGUAUGCUGUUGUUCAAUGGGGACCAUUGUGAGAGUGAAAAUGGGUGAUGUUGGUAACUGAGCCAGAACCUCAGGUAUAAUUUAGGGGUGUCUCCCUAAAUAAGAGACUGUUG